CGGACGGGUGAGUAACACGUGGAUAACCUACCUAUAAGACUGGGAUAACUUCGGGAAACCGGAGCUAAUACCGGAUAAUAUAUUGAACCGCAUGGUUCAAUAGUGAAAGACGGUUUUGCUGUCACUUAUAGAUGGAUCCGCGCUGCAUUAGCUAGUUGGUAAAGUAACGGCUUACCAAGGCAACGAUGCGUAGCCGACCUGAGAGGGUGAUCGGCCACACUGGAACUGAGACACGGUCCAGACUCCUACGGGAGGCAGCAGCC
rnacentral:rRNA from 1 species